CGGGAUCUUCCUUACCCUUUGUUGUCAGAUUCGGUUGCGUCGGGGGGGCCCCUGCCUUCGGGGGGGGGCUCGGGGUGGCCACUUCAAACUAUUGCGUAACUUUGCAGUUUGAGUAAAAUAAAUUAAUAAAUUAAAACUUUUAACAACGGAUUUUGCUUGGUUCUGGCAUCGAUGAAGAACGCAGCGAAAUGCGAUAAGUAAUGUGAAUUGCAGAAUUCAGUGAAUCAUGGAAUCUUUGAACGCACAUUGCGCCCCCUGGUAUUCCGGGGGGCAUGCCUGUUCGAGCGUCAUUUCACCACUCAAGCCUCGCUUGGUAUUGGGCAACGCGGUCCGCCGCGUGCCUCAAAUCGACCGGCUGGGUCUUCUGUCCCUUAAGCUGUUGGGAAACUAUUCGCUAAAGGGUGCUCGGGAGGCUACGCCGUAAAACAAACCCAUUUCUAAGGGUUGACCUCGGAUCAGUAGGGAACGAGAUAC
rnacentral:rRNA from 1 species